rnacentral:rRNA from 1 species
GGGAGGUUUGGCACCUCGAUGUCGGCUCGUCUCAUCCUGGGGCUGAAUUAGGUCCCAAGGGUUGGGCUGUUCGCCCAUUAAAGAGGCACGCGAGCUGGGUUCAGAACGUCGUGAGACAGUUCGGUCCCUAUCCGCUGUGGGCGCAGGAAAUUUGAGGAGAGCUGUCCUUAGUACGAGAGGACCGGGAUGGACACACCUCUGGUGUAUCAGUUGUCAUGCCAAUGGCACGGCUGAGUAGCUAAGUGUGGAAAGGAUAAGCGCUGAAGGCAUCUAAGCGCGAAGCCUCCUCCAAGAUAAGAUUUCCCAUCCAUUUAUGGAGUAAGACCCCUCGUAGACUAUGAGGUUGAUAGGCCUAAGGUGUAAGCGCAGUAAUGUGUUAAGCUAAUAGGUACUAAUAGGUCGAGGACUUAACCAAA